AUGGGUUCCUGUCCCAGGUCUCCGCUUUGGAGUUUAGGUGCCGCUUGUUUGAUGGGUAUUGUUGUUGGACAAAUGACCACUGCCCAGGUCUCUACGGGAUCACCACUGGUAUCUGCUGAUGUUUCGUCAGCUGCUCCAAAUGCAACCACUGUCGGGGUCUCUACGGUAUCAACUACAGCUGUGACAGUAACAGCUGAAGUGCUGUCAACCACUACAAACCCCACGGUGCCAUCUGCCACAACAGUAUCUGCUGAGGUUUCAUCCACCACCCGAACUGCAAGGGUGUCCACUAUUCCAAAUAGUACCACUGUUCAGGUUUCUCCAGGACCAACAUCAGCUGUGACAGAGUUGGCUGGGGUAACAUCAGCUACCCCCCGUGGCACAGUACCUACCAGCAUGCUAUCUACUGCUCCAAACGUGACAGCAUCUGCUGGGGUUCCAUCAGCUACUCCAUUUGUAAGCACCAUGGAGUCCACAAACUGCAGUGCAGUGAACACAACAGCGUGUACAGCUUGUUCACCAGGAACGUUUCCCAGCAAUGAGACAUUGGGUUGUUUCUGCUGCUCAGAGGGCUCCUGCGCAGAACCUAUUGAUUGCAUCUCCUGUCCAGUGGGUCACUAUCAGCCUCUAGCUGGACAACUGUCCUGUCUGCUUUGCCCACAAGGAUAUUACACUAAUUUAAUGAAAAGUGUUGCAUGCCUGCCCUGUCAGCCUGGCUCUUAUUCCAAUGAGUCUGGGGCACCAGCUUGCACACCGUGUGGAAAAGGGCAUUUCAGCUUCCAGAACAAUUCAGCAUUCUGCAUGCCCUGUCCACACGGAUCAUUUUGCAAUACUACCAACUGCAGCAAGUGUACAAUUUGCCCCACUGGAGAAGAGGCCCUUACAGAAGCAUCUGAAGAAUGUGCACCUUGUCUGCCAGAGCCCAGAUGUGAACCCAAUUGCAUGUCCUUCUAA
rnacentral:lncRNA from 1 species